UAGUAAGCAUGCCUAUCUGGAGAACAUC
rnacentral:sRNA from 1 species